UUUCUAACAGUUUCUCUGUGUUUUUGUUUGUUUGUUUUCUACUGUAUUUAACGUAGAGCGCAAUCUGUGACUUAAGAGGUGAAUGUGACCCAGGGCUCCAUCCAAACAAGGCUCAUGUGAUUUGCCUGCAGUCAAGCCUUUGAGCCUAGCUUAUUGUUGAGUUAAAUACAUGACUGUUUUCUGACACUUGAGCUAAGAGUGAGGGCUCAGACAACUGCGUGCCAGCAGCCCGCCAGUUAAGGAACUGAAGAACAUCUUCCAUUUAGUUUUAAAAAGAGAUCAUCCUGACUUUGGUUUGGGGGUACAGUUCUUCUUCUAGUAUUGCACACAGAACAACAAAUCCAGAUUAGAUCAAAACUUUAUAAUUCUGAGGCAAUAUUUGUUGUCAGCAGUAAAAUAUAAAAUAGUUAAGAUAUUAAAAAAUGCAAGGACUUUGGCAGAUAACAGAAAAUGGCACUCUGGUAAGUGCACGAACAACCAGGCCCAACAUUGUGUUUUCAUUCGUUUUGACAUUUAAUUUGGCACGUUCCACAUGCCAGGAAGCCUCUGACCACACUCGGAACAGACUCUACGUUUGUGAAUGUGCAUCUGUCCCCAGCAGUCCCGGCAGGGUUUCUGUAUGAACCAAAACAAACUAGGAGUGGUGGCUGUCACCUGCCGCUGCCAGCUGGCUCCGGACGUUUCUUUUUCCAGUUCAAAUCUCAACCAUCUCCUGCACCUGCAGUUGCUGUCUUUAUGAGAGUUGUGACUUUUUAUAAAUGUCUACUGUUCUGUAAACCGUAUCAACCCCAGAAAAAGCUCGUGGAGUCACAUUUCUUCAGCUCUGACCUGGAACAAGUUGGAAACAUUCUGAUCCAGAUUCACGUUACCUACGUGUGACUCUUCUUAACAAGUCAGGACAGAAUUUAUCAUCGUUACCACAACAGACCUAAAAGCAGCUGCACUUUUGUCCUUCCAUCUCAAACCAUCUGUUAAGUUUCCACAAGCAUGUGCAAAAGCACUGUGGUCACAGCAGUCAAAGUAUUCAGAGAUCUCACGGCUUGAGCUUCAGUAAAUGCUCAUGGAGUCAUUUGAGGAACACACUGACUGGAGCUUCAUGAUUUCGUAGGAGAGUUUGGUGGAAGUCUGGGGAAAAAUUCACUGCAAGUGCGCUUGUACAAUUCCUUAUCGUCCUCAUUUUUUAAGGAGCUCCAGUAACUCUAUGUUGAGACAAGCAGCACUGAGGAGUUACUGUGUGUUUUAUAAGUCAAAGACCAUUACAAGGGUUUAGAUGUCACAGUGACAAAGGUUAUACACUCAUAAAUG